CGCAUCUGUGCAUGCAGCAUAUCAAUAAGCGGAGGAAAAGAGGGCUAUUACCUACGCUUAGGAUGUUGACGCGCGUGUGUGCGUGAGUCUAUACAUGACUCUGCGCAUAUCAAUAAGCGGAGGAAAAGUACCUACGCUUAGGAUGUUGACGCGCGUGUGUGCGUGAUCUAUACAUGACUCUGUGCAUAUCAAUAAGCGGAGGAAAAGAAACUAACAAGGAUUCCCCUAGUAACGGCGAGUGAAGCGGGAAGAGCUCAAAUUUGAAAUCUUAAAGGGUUUCCCUUUACGAAUUGUAGUUUAAAGAAGUGUUUUCUGCUGAGGUUUUGGUAAAAGUUCUUUGGAAUAGGACAUCAUAGAGGGUGAGAAUCCCGUAUUUGACCAUUAUUUUCAGCUUUGUGAUACACUUUCAAAGAGUCGGAUUGUUUGGGAAUGCAGUCCAAAAUGGGUGGUAAAUUUCAUCUAAAGCUAAAUAUUGGCGAGAGACCGAUAGCGAACAAGUACCGUGAGGGAAAGAUGAAAAGAACUUUGAAAAGAGAGUUAAACAGUACGUGAAAUUGUCAAAAGGGAAGCGUUUGACACCAGUGUUGUUUUUCUGAAAAUCAAUUAAAGAACUGUUUAUGCUAAGUUGUUUAGACUUUAUCAGCUAACUGUUUAGUUUUGAGCUUUUCUUUAAUGCACUUUUCAGUUAACAAGUCAACAUCAAUUUCUUUUGCUGUAAAAAAGCUUGAGGAAGGUGGCUUGAGAUUCGUCUUAAGUGUUUAUAGCCUCUUGCCUAUGCAGUCGGAGAGAUUGAGGUCUGCAGCGUAGAUCCUUCGGGGCUAAAUGCAUUUGUGCUAAGUUAUAGCAUUUUAUAGACAACUUGUUGACUAUGAUUCUGUCUUGUAGCUUACUCGCUUAUGUUAUUUUACCUACGCUUAGGAUGUUGACAGCAGUAUAGACUGU
rnacentral:rRNA from 1 species